CGCCUCCGCGUGACUGACGGGGGAAUCCGCGGGCCAACGGGCUGGGCGGCCCGGCGGUGCGCGCUCCCGCCGGCCAAUCAGAGCGCCGGGCGGGGGAAGUGGGCGGAGCGAGGCCUGGGUAGGGUGAGCGGCCUCCGAAGCGGAGCGGGGCUCUGAGGAGACACUUUUUCUUCCUCCCUCCUUCCCUCCUCUCCUCCUGCCUUCCCUUCCCCUUUCCUCCCCUCUCUCCUCCUUCUCCCCUCGGUCAGCCGGAGCCUGCUGGGGCGAGCGGUUGGUAUUGCAGGCGCUUACUCUCCGGGGCCGCCCGGCGAGUAGCUGGCCGGGGAAGGAGGCAGGAACCGCGAUGGCGCCUCAGAAGCACGGCGGUGGGGGAGGGGGCGGCUCGGGGCCCAGCGCGGGGUCCGGGGGAGGCGGCUUCGGGGGUUCGGCGGCGACGGCUUCGAGCGGCAAAUCCGGCGGCGGGGGCUGUGGAGGCGGUGGCAGUUACUCGGCCUCCUCCUCCUCCGCGGCGUUACCGGUGAAGAAGUCGAAAAUGGAGCACGUCCAGGCUGACCACGAGCUUUUCCUCCAGGCCUUUGAGAAGCCAACACAGAUCUAUAGAUUUCUUUGAACUCGGAAUCUCAUAGCACCAAUAUUUUUGCACAGAACUCUUACUUACAUGUCUCAUCGAAACUCCAGAACAAACAUCAAAAGGAAAACAUUUAAAGUUGAUGAUAUGUUAUCAAAAGUAGAGAAAAUGAAAGGAGAGCAAGAAUCUCAUAGCUUGUCAGCUCAUUUGCAGCUUACAUUUUUGGUUUCUUCCACAAAAAUGAUAAGCCAUCACCAAACUCAGAAAAUGAACAAAAUUCUGUUACCCUGGAAGUCCUGCUUGUGAAAGUUUGCCACAAAAAAAGAAAGGAUGUAUGUUGUCCAAUAAGGCAAGUUCCCACAGGUAAAAAGCAGGUGCCUUUGAAUCCUGACCUCAAUCAAACAAAACCUGGAAAUUUCCCGUCCCUUGCAGUUUCCAGUAAUGAAUUUGAACCUAGUAACAGCCACAUGGUGAAGUCUUACUCGUUGCUAUUUAGAGUGACUCGUCCAAGAAGAAGAGAGUUUAAUGGAAUGAUUAAUGGAGAAACCAUGAAAAUAUUGAUGUCAGUGAAGAGCUUCCAGCCAGAAGAAAAUGAAAUCGUGAGGAUGGGGAAAAGACAUUUGUUGCACAAAUGACAGUAUUUGAUAAAAACAGGUAAUGUUGAUGAACAAGCGAGGCUCCCACAAUGUUCUGGAAAUGUUUUCAUUCUGAAGCAG
rnacentral:lncRNA from 1 species